GUAUGAUUUAUUCUACUAUCCUUCCUACCUAUUUACCCCCUCCCCUCCUUUCAUUCCCCUCUACCUAAUUUAAAGUAACUCUAUUCUCAGGUGAUGUGUCUUCCUUUUUGGUUUUGAAAAAAUGGUGAUAUUAAUCAUAUCCUGCAAAGGAGGAUAACCACCAUUUUUGUGGUAAUUGAAGUUGCCUGUCUCUGUAUGUCUUAAUCACUAUGGUCACCCAGAACUGUUUUACAAAUCAAACGUACUUUACUUCUCAGCCCGUCAUCAUGUGUGUGAAAUCUAGCCUGUCUCGUUGAAAAAGAGAUCAACUGUUCAAGUUCCAACUAAUAGUAUUACCUUCUUAGCAAUAUAUGCAUUGCCUGUAAAGAAAAGUGCAUUAGUUUUAAGAUUUCAGAGAGGGAGCCUAGCUAAAGCACAUUGGAGACAGGGGAAAUUCACCUCUUGGCGUGCACCAUAAUAAAAAUGUUUAGCAACAAAAGGUGUCUCAGGAAAAGGUUGUUUAAAAUAUUGUCUACCACUUCCUUCUUGUCUUGAAAUUUGGGUUUUGAAAAGACCAAGAUCUUUAAAGCAGGCUCUUACCUUUUGCUUUAAAUGCAUAAGUGUUAAAUUUGCAUUACCCGAUAUUAGGAAAUUUCCCAUGAAUACACAGAGUUACGAAAUACUAACUGGAGACGAGAGAAGAAGUGGUAUGAACUGAGGAAGAAAUAAGUAGAAG
rnacentral:lncRNA from 1 species